UACGUAGGGUGCGAGCGUUAAUCGGAAUUACUGGGCGUAAAGCGUGCGCAGGCGGUUCGGAAAGAAAGAUGUGAAAUCCCAGAGCUUAACUUUGGAACUGCAUUUUUAACUCCCGAGCUAGAGUGUGUCAGAGGGGGGUAGAAUUCCACGUGUAGCAGUGAAAUGCGUAGAGAUGUGGAGGAAUACCGAUGGCGAAGGCAGCCCCCUGGGAUAACACUGACGCUCAGGCACGAAAGCGUGGGGAGCAAACAGG
rnacentral:rRNA from 1 species